rnacentral:rRNA from 1 species
GGCUACAGAACGAACGGCUGGCGGCGCGUCUAAGCAUGCAAGUCGAACGGCAAGAGGUAGCAAUACCUCCUAGAGUGGCGGACUGGUGAGUAACACGUGGGUGACAUACCCUUCAGAUGGGGAUAGCUAUUAGAAAUAGUAGAUAAUACCGAAUACGAGCACGAGGGUUAGAGAUCUGUGAGGAAAGGAGCUAAGGCUCCGCUGAAGGAAUGGCCUGCGGCCCAUUAGCUAGUUGGUGAGGUAAGAGCCCACCAAGGCGAUGAUGGGUAUCCGGCCUUAGAGGGUGAACGGACACAUUGGGACUGAGAUACGGCCCAGACUCCUACGGGAGGCAGCAGCUAAGAAUAUUCCGCAAUGGACGAAAGUCUGACGGAGCGACGCCGCGUGGAUGAAGAAGGCCGGAAGGUUGUAAAAAUCCUUUUGAAACUGAAGAAUAAGCGUUGUAGGGAAUGACAGCGUGGUGACAGUAGGUUUUGAAUAAGCAACGGCUAAUUACGUGCCAGCAGCCGC